rnacentral:tRNA from 1 species
AGCUUAACAAAAGCCCCUCGCUUACACCGAGAUUAUAUCUGUUUAACUCAGAUCAUUUUGAG